CCCUUAGAUGUUCUGGGCCGCACACGCGCUACACUGAAGGAGGCAGCGUGUACUCCUGGAUCGAAAGAUUUGGGUAACCCGCGAAUCUCCUUCGUGCUAGGGAUUGAGGUUUGCAAUUAUCCUUCAUGAACGAGGAAUUCCCAGUAAGUGCAAGUCAUAAGCUUGCGCUGACUACGUCCCUGCCCUUUGUACACACCGCCCGUCGCUACUACCGAUUGAAUGAUUUAGUGAGGACUUUGGACUGGGACCGAUGCGGCUUUCGGGCUGCGUCGGUAUUCUGGAAAGAUGUCCAAACUGUAUCAUUUAGAGGAAGUAAAAGUCGUANCA
rnacentral:rRNA from 1 species